rnacentral:rRNA from 1 species
UCAAAGGAAUUGACGGGGGCCCGCACAAGCGGAGGAACAUGUGGUUUAAUUCGAUGAUACGCGAGGAACCUUACCCGGGCUCAAACGACACAGGAAUACUUUUGAAAGGAGGUAGCUCUUCGGAGCCUGUGUCGAGGUGCUGCAUGGUUGUCGUCAGCUCGUGCCGUGAGGUGUCGGCUUAAGUGCCAUAACGAGCGCAACCCCCAUCGCCAGUUACCAGCAAGUCAAGUUGGGGACUCUGGCGAGACUGCCGGCGCAAGCUGUGAGGAAGGCGGGGAUGACGUCAAAUCAGCACGGCCCUUACGUCCGGGGCGACACACGUGUUACAAUGGCAGGUACAGAGAGAAGCAAUGCGGCGACGCAAAGCGGAACUUGAAAGCCUGUCUCAGUUCGGAUUGGAGUCUGCAACUCGACUCCAUGAAGCUGGAUUCGCUAGUAAUCGCGCAUCAGCCAUGGCGCGGUGAAUACGUUCCCGGGCCUUGUACACACCGCCCGUCAAGCCAUGGAAGCCGGGAGUGCCUGAAGUGUGCAACCGCAAGGAGCGCCCUAAGGUAAAACUGGUGACUGGGGCUAAGUCGUAACAAGGUAACCG